GACGACCGUUGGCGGCGUGCUUAACACAUGCAAGUCGAACGGAAAGGCCCUGCUUUUGUGGGGUGCUCGAGUGGCGAACGGGUGAGUAACACGUGAGUAACCUGCCCUUGACUUUGGGAUAACUUCAGGAAACUGGGGCUAAUACCGGAUAGGAGCUCCUGCUGCAUGGUGGGGGUUGGAAAGUUUCGGCGGUUGGGGAUGGACUCGCGGCUUAUCAGCUUGUUGGUGGGGUAGUGGCUUACCAAGGCUUUGACGGGUAGCCGGCCUGAGAGGGUGACCGGCCACAUUGGGACUGAGAUACGGCCCAGACUCCUACGGGAGGCAGCAGUGGGGAAUAUUGCACAAUGGGCGGAAGCCUGAUGCAGCAACGCCGCGUGCGGGAUGACGGCCUUCGGGUUGUAAACCGCUUUCGCCUGUGACGAAGCGUGAGUGACGGUAAUGGGUAAAGAAGCACCGGCUAACUACGUGCCAGCAGCCGCGGUGAUACGUAGGGUGCGAGCGUUGUCCGGAUUUAUUGGGCGUAAAGGGCUCGUAGGUGGUUGAUCGCGUCGGAAGUGUAAUCUUGGGGCUUAACCCUGAGCGUGCUUUCGAUACGGGUUGACUUGAGGAAGGUAGGGGAGAAUGGAAUUCCUGGUGGAGCGGUGGAAUGCGCAGAUAUCAGGAGGAACACCAGUGGCGAAGGCGGUUCUCUGGGCCUUUCCUGACGCUGAGGAGCGAAAGCGUGGGGAGCGAACAGGCUUAGAUACCCUGGUAGUCCACGCUGUAAACGGUGGGUACUAGGUGUGGGGUCCAUUCCACGGGUUCCGUGCCGUAGCUAACGCUUUAAGUACCCCGCCUGGGGAGUACGGCCGCAAGGCUAAAACUCAAAGGAAUUGACGGGGCCCCGCACAAGCGGCGGAGCAUGCGGAUUAAUUCGAUGCAACGCGUAGAACCUUACCUGGGUUUGACAUGGAUCGGGAGUGCUCAGAGAUGGGUGUGCCUCUUUUGGGGUCGGUUCACAGGUGGUGCAUGGCUGUCGUCAGCUCGUGUCGUGAGAUGUUGGGUUAAGUCCCGCAACGAGCGCAACCCUUGUUCACUGUUGCCAGCACGUUAUGGUGGGGACUCAGUGGAGACCGCCGGGGUCAACUCGGAGGAAGGUGGGGAUGACGUCAAGUCAUCAUGCCCCUUAUGUCCAGGGCUUCACGCAUGCUACAAUGGCUGGUACAGAGAGUGGCGAGCCUGUGAGGGGAGCGAAUCUCGGAAAGCCGGUCUCAGUUCGGAUUGGGGUCUGCAACUCGACCUCAUGAAGUCGGAGUCGCUAGUAAUCGCAGAUCAGCAACGCUGCGGUGAAUACGUUCCCGGGGCU
rnacentral:rRNA from 1 species